AGCUGUUUUGGGACUACAGUUCCCAUCAUCCCUGACCACUGGUCCUGUUAGCUAGGGAUGAUGGGAGUUGUAGUCCCAAAAUAGCU